rnacentral:rRNA from 1 species
AACGAACGCUGGCGGCGCGCCUAAUACAUGCAAGUCGAGCGAGAAGGUGUAGCAAUACACUUGUAAAGCGGCGAACGGGUGAGGAAUACAUGGGUAAUCUACCAUCGAGUGGGGAAUAACCAACCGAAAGGUUGGCUAAUACCGCGUACGCCUCCGAGUCUUCGGGUUCGGAGGGAAAGCUGCACUGUGAGUGUAGCGCUCUUUGAUGAGCUCAUGUCCUAUCAGCUUGUUGGUAGGGUAACGGCCUACCAAGGCUUUGACGGGUAGCUGGUCUGAGAGGACGAUCAGCCACACUGGCACUGCGACACGGGCCAGACUCCUACGGGAGGCAGCAGUAAGGAAUAUUGCGCAAUGGGCGAAAGCCUGACGCAGCGACGCCGCGUGGGGGAUGAAGGUCUUCGGGUUGUAAACUGCUUUUGUACGGAACGAAACGGCGAGCUCUAAUACAGUUUGCUAAUGACGGUACCGUAAGAAUAAGCACCGGCUAACUACGUAGCCAGCAGCCG